UCUGCACCAGGCUGCCGGGAACCUCCCAGCGUGCACUCGGCACCGGGGCCCCGCAGCACCGAUCUAGUAGGGCUGUGGCGCGUCCAUUCCUCAAAGACAGUGGAAGGACAGGUCAGGGAACCCAAGCCAGGCCUGAUCCCGCAACUCCAGUCCCCUGAGGCUCUUCUCCCUUCCCGGCCCGGCUGCUUCCUGGGCUUGCUUCACAGCGAGAAGCUCACCUCAGGCAUUACUUGGUCCCUAGAGCGUUAAGCGCAUCCUUGUUGUUGAGAGAAAGCCAUAUUGGACCGCCAAAGAAUUUCCGCCUCUUCCAGAAAGCCUUCUGUGAUUUGGAGUUCAUUUUAAAGCUGAGGGCGCCGCCCUCGAUGGCCACGUGACCACCAUUCCUCCAGAGGCUUAGUAAAUGUGCCUAGGUAUUGCCCCAGUAGAGUGUUUACUGGGGGCCCCCUGGUAACUAGACCCCACCGGGGAGAACGGCCACUUUUGGCAUUCUCCUGCCUUGUAUCUCCACCGGUGGGGUAUCAGGAAUGGGUGAGCCAAACUCCAUCCUUCCCUGGCCUUCACCUGGUGACUGGGUCCAGCAAGCAGCAGCUCAGGAUGCUUCUAGCUGUUUGCUGUCCAAGACCCACAAUCCAUUAAAAAGGGCUCAAAAAUAAGCUUUUAGUAUAGCUUUAGCAAGUGCUGGAACUCUGGCCCUGCCAAGAGAGCAAGUGAAUUUCCUUAAAGAAAGCGCGCCGUGGAACCAAGAGCAAUGAGGGUAUUGUGACCUCAGAGAUUCCUUCGGUUGAAGACCGAGAUACUCAAGUUUCCAGAUGCAAAGGAGGAGAUCGCAUUUGCCGGACAGAGCAGCUGGAGGUACGGCCUGCCUGUGACUGUGUAAGUGAUGGGAUGGCGCUGUUUCCACUAAGAAGGCCAGGAAAGAUGAAGGUGAUGAGAGUCUGGAUGAAGGCUUGGUGAACCAACAGGAACCUGCUUCAGGUCUCACACUGAAGCCCAAGCUGAUUUCAAAUUCUCAGUCAUCCUGCUACAGCCUCCAGGAUGCUGGGCCAGGCAUCUCUAUCAAAUUGACACCAAAGUCUCCAGAUGGCAAAACUAGGCUCCAUCAUCAACUCCCUCACCCCAUUCAUACUGACUUUCAGCCGGAAAAGAGUGGACUCUGUUUCUCAAUUAAAACCAGUGUACUGGCUUUGGAGUGUUACUCAGUGGUGGGGAGACUGCCUAGCACGCAUGAGGCCCUGAGUUCCAUCUUCAACAGGGGAUUUUGGAAGACAAAGUUCUGGAAAUUUGUUCUACUAGUAUCAGCCAUGCUCAGAAGAAUCUUUACACACCCUGGGUGAACCCAGGAUUAGGCAGAGCAAGGAGAGCAUCCUGGCAGAGGUGGGCUUUUCGAAGAGACUAGAGAAGGCUGGGGAUUUAUCCCAGGGGUAGAGUUCUGCCUAGUCUGUGAGGCCCAAAGUCCAACCCAACAAAGAAAAGGAAGGUUCUUUUAUUUUCUUCUAUCAUCAGCUUGAUACAGUAUACAUUC